GUGAACGCUGGCGGUAGGCCUAACACAUGCCCGUCGAACGGCAGCACAGUAAGAGCUUGCUCUUACGGGUGGCGAGUGGCGGACGGGUGAGGAAUACAUCGGAAUCUACUUUUUCGUGGGGGAUAACGUAGGGAAACUUACGCUAAUACCGCAUACGACCUACGGGUGAAAGCAGGGGAUCUUCGGACCUUGCGCGAUUGAAUGAGCCGAUGACGGAUUAGCUAGUUGGCGGGGUAAAGGCCCACCAAGGCGACGAUCCGUAGCUGGUCUGAGAGGAUGAUCAGCCACACUGGAACUGAGACACGGUCCAGACUCCUACGGGAGGCAGCAGUGGGGAAUAUUGGACAAUGGGCGCAAGCCUGAUCCAGCCAUACCGCGUGGGUGAAGAAGGCCUUCGGGUUGUAAAGCCCUUUUGUUGGGAAAGAAAAGCAGCAGGUUAAUACCCCGCUGUUCUGACGGUACCCAAAGAAUAAGCACCGGCUAACUUCGUG
rnacentral:rRNA from 1 species